GCUCAGAGGCAGAGCUCGGGGCGUCCCCACAAUGGCCUGGACCCGUCUCCUGCUCCCCCUCCUCACUCUCUGCACAGGUUCUGUGGCCUCUUCUGCGCUGACUCAGCCACCUGCGGUGUCUGUGUCCUUGGGACAGACGGCCAGGAUCACCUGCCAGGGAGACAGCUUAGGAAGCUAUUAUGCUCAAUGGUACCAGCAGAAGCCAGGCCAGGCCCCUGUGCUGGUCAUUUAUGGUGAUAGCAAGCGGCCCUCAGGGAUCCCUGACCGAUUCUCUGGUUCCAGCUCAAGCAAAAUUGCCACCCUGACCAUCAGCAGGGCUCAGGCCGAGGACGAGGCUGACUAUUACUGUGGGUCAGCUGACAGCAGUGAUUAUCUUCACAGUGACACAGGCAGACAGGGAAGUGAGACACAAACCCCCUCCCCGUCUGGCUCACACUCUCCUCCAGCCCCAGGAGGACUAUGAACAAAACAGUGACAG